CAGCUGUAAACGAUGCGCGUUAGGUGUAUCGGUGACCACGAGUCAUCGAGGUGCCGAAGAGAAAUCGUGAAACGUGCCGCCUGGGAAGUACGGUCGCAAGGCUGAAACUUAAAGGAAUUGGCGGGGGAGCGCCACAACGGGUGGAGCCUGCGGUUUAAUUGGACUCAACGCCGGGAAGCUCACCGGAUAAGACAGCGGAAUGAUUGCCGGGCUGAAGACUCUGCAUGACUAGCUGAGAGGAGGUGCAUGGCGUAGACGUCU
rnacentral:rRNA from 1 species